GUUGUUUCAAAUGACAAUCCAAAUAGCUGAUAAGGAUUUAGGAAAUAUUUAUUGAAAUGUAAGAGCAGAGAAAGGCAACUUACUUUUAAGAAUUCGUGGAAAAUAUAAAAACAGUAAUAUCUGUUUUAUCCUUUUAGUUUUGAUUUCACAUCUACAGUUAUUAUGCCAUCGUGGGUUACACCCCAAUUGUGAUUGUUUUUUACGGUUAUGCCACAAAUUGUCAUGGUGAACAUAAUACCUGGUUUGCACAAUUAUCCUAUCAUUGAUAUUUUGUUGUUUGUUAUUUGUAUUACAUGAUGUCUGUUAAAAAAACAAACAACAAAAAAAAAACACUUGCACUUCUAAAUGAAGACAAAAGCUCAAUUCAGUGAUUAAAAGAUUUAAAGUCAUAUUUUAGAUAUGAAAAUAAUGUUCAGCAAGCACUGGACAUUGAGUUCUUAAAUCAAAGAGGGGAGAUAUGAAAUCAAACCCUCUGCCAUGCAUUUGGUUAACAAGUGAUACGUGGUUUUCAUCCUUUCAAGCGUCUUCUGAAAGAAACUCUGAAGCACUUGGCUGAAUUUAUCCUCAUCCAUAUCUUCAUCAAACUGCGCACACUUUUCAUAGUCUGCAUAUGGAAUUUAGGAAAGGAAAUGACAAUAAAAUGUUAAAACUUGAACAGAUUUAUAUAUGCAAACUCAAGAGUGACACGGAGUAUGCUACAUCAUCAUAAAAUCAUCAUGCUGCCCACAAGACACAAAAACACAUAUUUGAAAGAGGAAAGAGGAUCAUUUUCAUCUGUGCUAUCUGUUCCUUUUUUUGGUUGCUGUAAAAGUCUCACCAUGAUCAGUGUUGAAGAGUUGGGGUUUGGACCAGCCCAGACACUCUGCCUGUGUCUCAAACUCCGUCAGCUCAGCAGCAGAAACAGCUGUUCGUCUACCUGGUGAAGCAGUGACACAUCAGAGAUAAAAGGCUUGUGAUAAUAUGAUGGAUUGUAUUGAACCUUGUAUUUCUCACAGCAUGCAUUUUGCUUUUUGGUUAACUACAUAAGGAAAAUUACAAAUUAUGAAUGGUCUAAAGCCCCCAGCCCUGCCACCUUACUGAAGAGCAAAAGAUGACUUUUAUCCUCUUUAGUGACGAGGCAGUCAGGACAGCCAGUUUGCAGCAGCACGUCUGGUUUAUCAGCUGUGGCAUCUGCAUCUGUUGGAUUAAAGUCAUUUAAAGUGUUUAAAUGGUAGUACAGCUACAGCUUGUAGUUAGAGGAUAUUUAAAAGGAAAACCUCUUACUUUCACUGUCAACUUCAAAUAUGCUGCUGUUUGCAUAGAUAAAUGUUGUGGUUCCGUUGAUACAAACUCCAUUCCUGCAACAUUCAUCAUUACAAAUUUAACAACUGAAAGAACAGCUGAACAAUGUUAACACGUUAAAUGCUCUUAAUUAAACUAAAAAUCAAAAAAUAAAACAUUACUUACGCUUUCAAAUAAGUAGUAUCACCAUAGAGGUUUGGUGUGCCCUUAGAAAUUACAUCCACUGCAGCACUUGGGGAAAAUAAAGCACUGACUAAUGUUGAAGUCAGGCAAAACUCUGUGGACACAGCUAUGAAGUACCACCUCCCAGGCAGCUGAAAUAAAAGAGUUUUUUUUUUAAUUGAUUGAUUCAUUAUUUAUUUUGGAAAUUCACAAAAAAAACCCCAUUCUGAAUAUUUUCCCUCCAACACAUUUCAGGAAAAAAAAUGCAAGUUUUAACAGUUGGAACAAAACAAAUGUGGAAAGACACUCACAUCUGGACGUUGAUCGACUGGCUUUAACAGCUUCUCACAGGCCAGCGAUGCAGGCUGGCCCACUGAGAUGAGACUCAGCAAAACAAGAGCAGCACUCAAAGUCUUCAUCCUCACAGAUAUGAUGUGUUCUCUAAUGCCCCUUGUUGUUAUCAGCUCUGCCUUAAACUAAUAUCGCCAACCAGUUAUUUUUCUGCUUCAUCCACC
ensembl:lncRNA